CCUACGGGUGGCAGCAGUGAGGAAUAUUGGUCAAUGGACGAGAGUCUGAACCAGCCUAGUAGCGUGAAGGAUGACUGCCCUAUGGGUUGUAAACUUCUUUUAUCAGGGAAUAAAACGAGGCACGAGUGCCUUUUUGCAUGUACUUUAUGAAUCAGGAUCGGCUAACUCCGUGCCAGCAGCCGCGGUAAUACGUAGGAUCCUAGCGAUCGCCGGAUUGAUUGGGUUUAAAGGGAGCGUAGAGGGGUUGUUAAGUCAGUUGUGAAAGUUUGCGGCUCAACCGUAAAAUUGCAAAUGAUACAGGCAGUAUGGAGUAAAGAGGAGGGAAGCGGAAUUCGUG
rnacentral:rRNA from 1 species